CAAAAACAUCGCCUCUUGCAAAAUCAACAAAUAAGAGGUCCCGCCUGCCCUGUGACUAUAUGUUUAACGGCCGCGGUAUUUUGACCGUGCGAAGGUAGCGCAAUCACUUGUCUUUUAAAUGGAGACCUGUAUGAAUGGCACGACGAGGGCUUAACUGUCUCCUUUCCUUAGUCAAUGAAAUUGAUCUCUCCGUGCAGAAGCGGGGAUAAACCCAUAAGACGAGAAGACCCUAUGGAGCUUCAGACACUAAAACAGCUCAUGUUAAAAACCCUCACAAAAGAGACUAAACUAGAUGACCCCUGUCCUAAUGUCUUUGGUUGGGGCGACCACGGGGUAACAAAGAACCCCCGCGCGGAACAGAAACACUGUUUCCAGAACCAAGAGCACCCGCUCUAAGUAACAAGACCCACUUGACCUUUGAGAUCCGGCAUCCGACCGAUCAACGGACCGAGUUACCCUAGGGAUAACAGCGCAAUCUUUUUCGAGAGUUCAUAUCGACGAGAAGGUUUACGACCUCGAUGUUGGAUCAGGACAUCCUAAUGGUGCAGCCGCUAUUAAGGGUUCGUUUGUUCAACGAUUAAAGUCCUACGUGAUC
rnacentral:rRNA from 1 species